ensembl:snRNA U6 U6 spliceosomal RNA
GUGCUUGCUUCUGCAGCACAUAUACUAAAAUUGGAAGGAUACAGAGAUUAGCAUGGCCCCUCCCUGCCCAUGCAGGAUGAUAUGCAAACUUGUGAAACAUUAAAAAUAAAA